ACAGGCCUACCACAUGCAAGUCGAGCGGGGAAAGGUAGCUUGCUACCUGACCUAGCGGCGGACGGGUGAGUAAUGCUUAGGAAUCUGCCUAUUAGUGGGGGACAACAUUCCGAAAGGAAUGCUAAUACCGCAUACGCCCUACGGGGGAAAGCAGGGGAUCUUCNGACCUUGCGCUAAUAGAUGAGCCUAAGUCAGAUUAGCUAGUUGGUGGGGUAAAGGCCUACCAAGGCGACGAUCUGUAGCGGGUCUGAGAAGGAUGAUCCGCCUCACUGGGACUGAGACACCGCCCAGACUCCUACGGUAGGCACCAGUGGGGAAAUAUUGGACAAUGGGCGAAAGCCUGAUCCAGCCCUGCCGCGUGGGUUGAAGAAGGCCUUUUGGUUGUCAAGCACUUUAAGCCC
rnacentral:rRNA from 1 species